AGUUUUAACUAGAGCUUUAUUGGACUGUAAUUAAUUGUAAUGAUUAAGAUUUUGUUGCUCGCUAUUAUCGCAAUUGCGAUGACAAGUGCUGCUCCUGAAGCGGAUUUACACGCAGAUGAAUCUGCGUACCACGGUUGGGGAGGAUGGGGCGGAAGAGGAUGGGGAGGUUGGGGUAGUGGAUACGGUGGCUGGGGUCGCGGUUGGGGUGGAUAUGGUCGCGGGUGGGGUCACGGCGGCUGGGGCGGUUGGUGGUGACAUGUUCCUGACUGUCACUACACCCAUUGAUUUUACAUGUACUAUAACACUUUGCAAGCAAUAUUGUUGAACUAUACUCAAACUGUUAUUUACUCAUACAUCACGUCUCUAAUAAUAAAUACAUAAUUAUGUA